rnacentral:rRNA from 1 species
UUCCGGUUGAUCCCGCCGGACCCGACUGCUAUUUGGGUGAGGAUAAGCCAUGCGAGUCGAAUGGGAUACCUAAAGUUCCCAUGGCAGACUGCUCAGUAACACAUGAUCAACUUACCCUAUGGAGAAAAAUAACCUCGGGAAACUGAGGAUAAUGCUUCAUAGUUGAAAAGGCUUGGAAAAGUUUUUCAAUGAAAUGGAUAAGAAAAAUGGUUCUUAUUUACCAUAGGAUAGGAUCGUGGUCGAUUAUGGUUGUUGGUGAGGUAAAGGCUCACCAAGCCGAUAAUCGAUGGGGGCCGUGAGAGCGGGAGCCCCGAGAUGGGUACUGAGACAACGACCCAGGCCUUACGAGGCGCAGCAGGCGCGGAACCUCCGCAAUACACGAAAGUGUGACGGGGUUACCCAAAGUGUUCAUUUCUGAACUGUGGUAGGUGAGUAAUGUCCCCUACUAGAAAGGAGAGGGCAAGGCUGGUGCCAGCCGCCGCGGUAAAACCAGCUCUUCAAGUGGUCGGGAUAAUUAUUGGGCUUAAAGUGUCCGUAGCCUGUUUAGUAAGUUCUUGGUAAAAUCGGGUAGCUUAACUAUCCGCGUGCUAGGAAUACUGCUAUACUAGAGGGCGGGAGAGGUCUGAGGUACUACAGGGGUAGGGGUGAAAUCUUAUAAUCCUUGUAGGACCACCAGUGGCGAAGGCGUCAGACUGGAACGCGCCUGACGGUGAGGGACGAAAGCCAGGGGAGCGAACCGGAUUAGAUACCCGGGUAGUCCUGGCCGUAAACGAUGCAUACUAGGUGAUGGCACGGCCAUGAGCCGUGUCGGUGCCGUAGGGAAACCGUUAAGUGUGCCGCCUGGGAAGUACGGUCGCAAGGCUAAAACUUAAAGGAAUUGGCGGGGGAGCACCACAAGGGGUGAAGCCUGCGGUUCAAUUGGAGUCAACGCCGGGAAUCACUAGUGCGGC